rnacentral:rRNA from 1 species
AUACGGAGGGAGCGAGCGUUAAUCGGAAUUACUGGGCGUAAAGCGCGCGUAGGCGGCUUUGUAAGUCGGAUGUGAAAGCCCUGGGCUCAACCCGGGAACUGCAUUCGAUACUGCAGGGCUAGAGUAUGGUAGAGGAAAGCGGAAUUCCCGGUGUGGCGGUGAAAUGCGUAGAUAUCGGGAGGAACACCAGUGGCGAAGGCGGCUUUCUGGACCAAUACUGACGCUGAGGCGCGAAAGCGUGGGGAGCAAACAGGAUUAGAAACCCGAGUAGUCC